rnacentral:tRNA from 1 species
UGACUCAGUGGUAGAGUGCUUGCCUUGCAUGCAUGAAGCCCUGGGUUCGAUUCCUCAG